AGCAAGAAAGAAAAGAAGAAGAAGAAGAACAUACAACCUCUGUCCUCUCUCCCUAUCCCAACGCGUAACGCGCGCGCGAAGGGUUUAAGUUCGGCUAGGGUUUUGGGGAUCAGGGUUUUAUGGUUUUGCGAAACCCUAAGGAGAUGAUCGGGAAGCCAUGCGUGCGUGGGCUCAUCCUUCUUCAGUUGCAGCAAGAUUAAGAAUUUCCCCUUCGAUCGAUCGCCUUUCAUCCAUAAGUAUUGCCUUCUUCAUUCCUUUCUCAGUCAAUCCUUUCCCUCCGCCGCUUUCUUCGAGGUUCGGUUUCUCUGCG
rnacentral:lncRNA from 1 species